rnacentral:rRNA from 1 species
UUUCUUUGCUGGCGACCGGCGCACGGGUGAGUAACACGUAUCCAACCUGCCCUUUACUCGGGGAUAGCCUUUCGAAAGAAAGAUUAAUACCCGAUAGCAUAAUGAUUCCGCAUGGUUUGAUUAUUAAAGAAUUUCGGUUAUCGAUGGGGAUGCGUUCCAUUAGGCAGUUGGUGGGGUAACGGCCCACCAAACCUUCGAUGGAUAGGGGUUCUGAGAGGAAGGUCCCCCACAUUGGAACUGAGACACGGUCCAA